UACGGAGGGGGCUAGCGUUGUUCGGAAUUACUGGGCGUAAAGCGCGCGUAGGCGGCUUUGUAAGUUAGAGGUGAAAGCCCGGAGCUCAACUCCGGAACUGCCUUUAAGACUGCAUCGCUAGAAUUGUGGAGAGGUGAGUGGAAUUCCGAGUGUAGCAGUGAAAUGCGUAGAGAUCGGGAGGAACAUCUGUGGCGAAGGCGGCCAUCUGGACCAGCACUGACACUGAGGCACGAAAGCGUGGGGAGCAAACAGG
rnacentral:rRNA from 1 species